UAGGAGAAACUCUCAAGGUUUAUUUUCAGAACUCAACCACAGGUGGGGUGGGGUCCUAUCAGGAUGGACAGAGACGUAGAUAACAGAGACUGGAGACUCACCCAAUUUAUAUAAUAAAGCGUGCCGAGUUCUCACCCGUUACGGGAUUUCGCGAGACUUGAAGAAAAAUAUAGACGACGCCAUUUUGUUUGCGAAGCGGGUAAAAGCUACAAACUAAAGAGCGAAUUUAGAGCGAGUUCUUUGUUGACAUUGACUGAAUAUGUUAUUUUUAAAUUGCUGGAUAAUGUUUUCACCAGACCAGUUCAGUAAACAAGGGACAUCAUUGGAGGUUACGGUAUUUUGUGGUGUAAUUGUGUGGGUUCAGAGUCUGACUGGAUAUCUACACCUCUGGUGGAUUAUAAAAAAGAAGGGUUCGUCCACAGAAAAGGAACACAGGCUGUAAAAGAUAGAGCAAAAGCAAUCCCUGUCUAGGAACGCCAUACCUGCACGUGAAGCUCGAGGAUAUUACGGAACUCCCCCUGCAGCGUGGAGGUGACCAGUCUGCGAUGUAGGAGUUCGCUUACU